ACACUGCAAGUCGCACGGGGUUUAAGAGGAAGCUUGCGAAUCUUAGACCUAGUGGCGCACGGGUGAGUAACGCGUCGGAUAACCUGCCUGGUAGACCGGGAUAACGGCUGGAAACGGCUGCUAAUACCGGAUACGCUCUGCUGAGCGCAUGUUUGGGAGAGGAAAGAAGUAUCGCUAUCAGAUGGGUCCGCGUCCCAUUAGCUAGUUGGUGGUGUAAGAGACCACCAAGGCGACGAUGGGUAGCCGGCCUGAGAGGGCGACCGGCCACACUGGGACUGAGACACGGCCCAGACUCCUACGGGAGGCAGCAGUGGGGAAUCUUCCACAAUGGGCGAAAGCCUGACGGAGCAGCGCCGCGUGAGGGAAGAGGGCCUUCGGGUUGUAAACCUCUGUCUUCAAGGAAGAAGUAAUGACCGUACUUGGAGAGGAAGCUCCGGCUGACUACGGUGCCAGCCUCCGCGGUAGAACGUACGGGGCGAGCGUUGUCCGGAAUUACUGGGCGUAAAGGGCGCGUAGGUGGUACAUUAAGUCAGAGGUGAAAGAUCGGGGCUCAACCGCGAGAUUGCCUCUGAUACUGGUGGACUUGAGUGCAGGAUAGGGGAGCGGAAUUCCCAGUGUACCGGUGAAAGGCCUAGAUCUUGUGAGGAACAUCGGUGGCGAAUGCUGCUCUCUGGACUGCACUGACACUGAUGCUCGAAUGCGUGCGGAGCUGACAGGAUUAGAUACCCUGGUAGUCCACGCCUUACACGAUGAGUGCUGGAUGUUGGAGGUAUCGACUCCUGCAGUGUCGUAGUUAACACACUAAGCACUGCGACUGGCGAGUACGGUAGCAACACUGACACUCAGAGGUAUUGACGGGAGCCCGCCCAUUCGCUGGAGUAUGUGGUAUACUUCUACCCACUGCGGAAAACCUUACCAGGGCUUGACAUCCUCUGAUCGCUCUAGAGCUACGGCUUUCAUCCUUCGAGAUGACGUACAGACACGUCGUGCAUGAUUGUCGCAACUCGUGUCAUGAGAUGUCGCGUUAGUCCCGCACCAGCGCACCCUAAUAUACUUAGCUCGAGUAAGUCCGGACUUACUGUACUGCAGUGAAGACUAAGACGGAGGCAUAUUCCAUCUCG
rnacentral:rRNA from 1 species